CACGUACUCCCUCCGUCUCAAAAUACUUGUCGGAGAAAUGGAUAAAAUUGGAUGUAUCUAUAACAAAUAACAUCUAGAUUCAUCUAUUUUUUCGACAAGUAUUUCCGGACGGAGGGAGUACAAA
rfam:Triticum aestivum genome assembly, contig: Triticum_aestivum_CS42_TGACv1_scaffold_643590_T_3B-0.261504_1BL-0.166789